rnacentral:rRNA from 2 species
GGGUUGUGAGGUUAAGCGACUAAGCGUACACGGUGGAUGCCCUGGCAGUCAGAGGCGAUGAAGGACGUGCUAAUCUGCGAAAAGCGUCGGUAAGGUGAUAUGAACCGUUAUAACCGGCGAUGUCCGAAUGGGGAAACCCAGUGUGAUUCGUCACACUAUCGUUAACUGAAUACAUAGGUUAACGAGGCGAACCGGGGGAACUGAAACAUCUAAGUACCCCGAGGAAAAGAAAUCAACCGAGAUUCCCCCAGUAGCGGCGAGCGAACGGGGAGCAGCCCAGAGUCUGAAUCAGCUUGUGUGUUAGUGGAACGGUCUGGAAAGUCCGACGGUACAGGGUGAUAGUCCCGUACACCAAAAUGCACAGGCUGUGAACUCGAAGAGUAGGGCGGGACACGUGGUAUCCUGUCUGAAUAUGGGGGGACCAUCCUCCAAGGCUAAAUACUCCUGACUGACCGAUAGUGAACCAGUACCGUGAGGGAAAGGCGAAAAGAACCCCGGCGAGGGGAGUGAAAAAGAACCUGAAACCGUGUACGUACAAGCAGUGGGAGCACCUUCGGGUGUGACUGCGUACCUUUUGUAUAAUGGGUCAGCGACUUAUAUUCUGUAGCAAGGUUAACCGUAUAGGGGAGCCGCAGGGAAACCGAGUCUUAACUGGGCGUUAAGUUGCAGGGUAUAGACCCGAAACCCGGUGAUCUAGCCAUGGGCAGGUUGAAGGUUGGGUAACACUAACUGGAGGACCGAACCGACUAAUGUUGAAAAAUUAGCGGAUGACUUGUGGCUGGGGGUGAAAGGCCAAUCAAACCGGGAGAUAGCUGGUUCUCCCCGAAAGCUAUUUAGGUAGCGCCUCGUGAACUCAUCUUCGGGGGUAGAGCACUGUUUCGGCUAGGGGGUCAUCCCGACUUACCAACCCGAUGCAAACUACGAAUACCGAAGAAUGUUAUCACGGGAGACACACGGCGGGUGCUAACGUCCGUCGUGAAGAGGGAAACAACCCAGACCGCCAGCUAAGGUCCCAAAGUCAUGGUUAAGUGGGAAACGAUGUGGGAAGGCACAGACAGCCAGGAUGUUGGCUUAGAAGCAGCCAUCAUUUAAAGAAAGCGUAAUAGCUCACUGGUCGAGUCGGCCUGCGCGGAAGAUGUAACGGGGCUAAACCAUGCACCGAAGCUGCGGCAGCGACACUAUGUGUUGUUGGGUAGGGGAGCGUUCUGUAAGCCUGCGAAGGUGUGCUGUGAGGCAUGCUGGAGGUAUCAGAAGUGCGAAUGCUGACAUAAGUAACGAUAAAGCGGGUGAAAAGCCCGCUCGCCGGAAGACCAAGGGUUCCUGUCCAACGUUAAUCGGGGCAGGGUGAGUCGACCCCUAAGGCGAGGCCGAAAGGCGUAGUCGAUGGGAAACAGGUUAAUAUUCCUGUACUUGGUGUUACUGCGAAGGGGGGACGGAGAAGGCUAUGUUAGCCGGGCGACGGUUGUCCCGGUUUAAGCAUGUAGGCUGGUUAUCCAGGCAAAUCCGGAUAAUCAAGGCUGAGGUGUGAUGACGAGGCACUACGGUGCUGAAGUAACAAAUGCCCUGCUUCCAGGAAAAGCCUCUAAGCAUCAGGUAACAUCAAAUCGUACCCCAAACCGACACAGGUGGUCAGGUAGAGAAUACCAAGGCGCUUGAGAGAACUCGGGUGAAGGAACUAGGCAAAAUGGUGCCGUAACUUCGGGAGAAGGCACGCUGGUGUGUAGGUGAAGUCCCUGCGGAUGGAGCUGAGACCAGUCGAAGAUACCAGCUGGCUGCAACUGUUUAUUAAAAACACAGCACUGUGCAAACACGAAAGUGGACGUAUACGGUGUGACGCCUGCCCGGUGCCGGAAGGUUAAUUGAUGGGGUUAUCCGUAAGGAGAAGCUCUUGAUCGAAGCCCCGGUAAACGGCGGCCGUAACUAUAACGGUCCUAAGGUAGCGAAAUUCCUUGUCGGGUAAGUUCCGACCUGCACGAAUGGCGUAAUGAUGGCCAGGCUGUCUCCACCCGAGACUCAGUGAAAUUGAACUCGCUGUGAAGAUGCAGUGUACCCGCGGCAAGACGGAAAGACCCCGUGAACCUUUACUAUAGCUUGACACUGAACAUUGAGCCUUGAUGUGUAGGAUAGGUGGGAGGCUUUGAAGCGUGGACGCCAGUCUGCGUGGAGCCAACCUUGAAAUACCACCCUUUAAUGUUUGAUGUUCUAACGUUGGCCCCUGACCGGGGUUGCGGACAGUGUCUGGUGGGUAGUUUGACUGGGGCGGUCUCCUCCCAAAGCGUAACGGAGGAGCACGAAGGUUAGCUAAUCCUGGUCGGACAUCAGGAGGUUAGUGCAAUGGCAUAAGCUAGCUUGACUGCGAGCGUGACGGCGCGAGCAGGUGCGAAAGCAGGUCAUAGUGAUCCGGUGGUUCUGAAUGGAAGGGCCAUCGCUCAACGGAUAAAAGGUACUCCGGGGAUAACAGGCUGAUACCGCCCAAGAGUUCAUAUCGACGGCGGUGUUUGGCACCUCGAUGUCGGCUCAUCACAUCCUGGGGCUGAAGUAGGUCCCAAGGGUAUGGCUGUUCGCCAUUUAAAGUGGUACGCGAGCUGGGUUUAGAACGUCGUGAGACAGUUCGGUCCCUAUCUGCCGUGGGCGCUGGAGAAUUGAGGGGGGCUGCUCCUAGUACGAGAGGACCGGAGUGGACGCAUCACUGGUGUUCGGGUUGUCAUGCCAAUGGCACUGCCCGGUAGCUAAAUGCGGAAGAGAUAAGUGCUGAAAGCAUCUAAGCACGAAACUUGCCCCGAGAUGAGUUCUCCCUGAGACUAUAAGUCUCCUGAAGGAACGUUAAAGACGAUGACGUUGAUAGGCCGGGUGUGUAAGCGCAGCGAUGCGUUGAGCUAACCGGUACUAAUGAACCGUGAGGCUUAACCUUACAACGCCGAAG